AGUCGAACGGAGUGUUGCGCUGAAAUUGAGAUUAGCUUGCUAAAGGAAAUUUCUUGUAACACUUAGUGGCGGACGGGUGAGUAACGCGUGAGGAACCUGCCUUACAGAGGGGGACAACAGUUGGAAACGACUGCUAAUACCGCAUGAUGUUUCGAGAGGACAUCCUCUUGAAACCAAAGGAGCAAUCCGCUGUAAGAUGGCCUCGCGUCUGAUUAGAUAGUUGGUGGGGUAACGGCCUACCAAGUCGACGAUCAGUAGCCGGACUGAGAGGUUGAUCGGCCACAUUGGGACUGAGACACGGCCCAGACUCCUACGGGAGGCAGCAGUGGGGGAUAUUGCACAAUGGAGGAAACUCUGAUGCAGCAACGCCGCGUGAGGGAAGAAGGUUUUCGGAUUGUAAACCUCUGUUUUUAGUGAAGAAACAAAUGACGGUAGCUAAAGAGGAAGCCACGGCUAACUACGUGCCAGCAGCCGCGGUAAUACGUAGGUGGCAAGCGUUGUCCGGAAUUACUGGGUGUAAAGGGUGCGCAGGCGGGAUUGCAAGUUGGAUGUGAAAUACCGGGGCUUAACCCCGGAGCUGCAUCCAAAACUGUAGUUCUUGAGUGGAGUAGAGGUAAGCGGAAUUCCGAGUGUAGCGGUGAAAUGCGUAGAUAUUCGGAGGAACACCAGUGGCGAAGGCGGCUUACUGGGCUCUAACUGACGCUGAGGCACGAAAGCAUGGGUAGCAAACAGGAUUAGAUACCCUGGUAGUCCAUGCUGUAAACGAUGAAUGCUAGGUGUGGGGGGACUGACCCCUUCCGUGCCGGAGUAAACACA
rnacentral:rRNA from 1 species